CCUACGGGAGGCAGCAGUAGGGAAUAUUGCUCAAUGGGGGAAACCCUGAAGCAGCAACGCCGCGUGGAGGAUGAAGGUUUUCGGAUUUUAAACUCCUUUUGUUAGAGAAGACAAUGACGGUAUCUAACGAAUAAGCACCGGCUAACUCCGUGCCAGCAGCCGCGGUAAUACGGAGGGUGCAAGCGUUACUCGGAAUCACUGGGCGUAAAGAGCGCGUAGGCGGGAUAGCAAGUCAGAUGUUAAAUCCUAUGGCUUAACCAUAGAACUGCAUUUGAAAAUGAUAUUCUUGAGUGUGGGUGAGGUAGGUGGAAUUCGUGGUGUAGGGGUAAAAUCCGUAGAGAUCAAGAAGAAUACUCAUUGCGAAGGCGACCUGCUAGAACAUCACUGACGCUGAUGCGCGAAAGCGUGGGGAGCAAACAGGAUUAGAUACCCCAGUAGUC
rnacentral:rRNA from 1 species